rnacentral:lncRNA from 1 species
UUUUUUUUUUUUUUUGUCUUUUGUCCUUUUAGGGCCACAUCCAUGGCAUAUGGAGGUUCCCAGGCUAGGGGCUAAUUGGAGCUAUUUACUGCUGGCCUACACCACAGCUCACAGCAACGCCGGAUCCUUAACCCACUGAGCAAGGCUAGGGAUCAAACCCGCAACCUCAUGGUUCCUAGUUGGAUUUGUUUCCACUGCACCACGAUGGGAACUCCAAAUUUCUUUUUUGUUUGUUUGUUUGUUUUUGUUUUUGUUUUCAUCUUUUUGCCUUUUCUAGGGCCGUUCCCUCGGCAUAUGGAGGUUCCCAGGCUAGGGGUCUAAUUGGAGCCAUAGCCACUGGCCUACACCAGAGCCACAGCAAUGCAGGAUCCGAGCUGCAUCUGUGAGCUACAACACAGCUCAUGGCAAUGCCAGAUCCUCCACCCACUGAACAAGGCAAGAAACCGAACCCACAACCUCAUGGUCCCUAGUCGGAUUCGUUAACCACUGCGCCACAAUGGGAACUCCAGAAGCUUUAAAUUUCUUAUAUACAUUACUACCUCUUUUAUUUUCCAUCAACGUAAUGCAUUUUACCUUGCUUAGAAGCAAUAUUUUCUAGGGCCACACCUGCAGCAUAUGGAGUUUCCCAAGCUAGGGGUCUAAUCGGAGCUGUAGCUGCCGGCCUAUGCCACAGCCAUGCUAGAUCCAAGCUGUGUCUGUGACCUAUACCACAGCUCACAGCAACGCUGGUUCCUUAACCCACUGAGUGAGGCCAGGGGUCAAACCCGCAACCUCAUGGUUCCUAGUGAGAUUUUUAACCACUGAGCCAUGAUGGGAACUCCUAGAAGCAAUACUUUUGCAGCAAAUAUGAAAUAACUCUUUGGCACUUACUCGUUAUUGAUUUUUAUUAGAAUUUUUACUUGUAGGAUUUUACCCCAACAGAAGUUGACCAUCCUCCCUAAGUUGAAAAGAAGGGGACCUGAGCUAUAAGGAUGAUAAAGCACCUAAAUAUAUUCCAAAAGAGACUCUGAGAGAUUUCCACCUCCAGUCAUGAUGGAGUGACUAAUACCAAACUUGUUCCCUCACUGUAAAUAACUAUGAAAGCUAAUAAACUUUUUCAGAUUUUGGAAAACAGGCAAUAUAGACUCAUUCCUGAAUAAAGAGGAGGAAACAAUGUGAAACAUAAGAUUAGUCUAGCUUCAGAUACUAUCUAGACAAUGGUGCAAGGAAGGAAAAAUUCUGAUAGAGCACAGAUGACUUAUUGGUUUGAAGAAGCAAAGAUAGCAGAUACUGAACUAAUUAGAAUUUGUGAAACAUAGGUGUUUCCUGAUUGCCUAGCAGUUAAGGAGCCAGCAUUGUCAUUGCCGUGGUUUGGGUUGCUACUAUGGUGUGGGUUUGAACAUUGGUCUGGGAACUUCUACAUGCUGCAGGUGUACCCUUCCCCCCAAAAAUGUGAAAAAGAAUGUAAAAGAGACUGUUAUGCAGAGAUUUCCAAAAGUUGGCAUAGGGGUCUCCUUACAUCUUUGCCUUGUAUAUCCAGCUGUGAAUGUAUGAGGUGAGACACAGCUAGACAAGUAAAAGUGAUUUGUGUGACAGUCUCCAGAAGUCAAGGACAUAAGGAAAAAGAAAAAAAGAAACAUAAAUAGAGCCUAAGAGACCUAUGGAACACCAUCAAUAAUACCAACAUACACAAAAUAGGAAUUGUAUAAGAUGAGGAGAGAAAGAGACAAUAUCUAGAACUAUAAUGGCUGAAAAUCUCCGCAUUAGAUGAAAAACCCAUCUGCACAUGCAAGAAGCUGAACAAGUACACAGUAAGAUGAGUCUAAAGAGAUCCACUCCUAGAAACAUCAUCAUGAAAUGUUGUAAGCCAAGAACAAAGACAGCAGCAAGAGAGAAGCAAUUCAUUACAUAGAGGCGGUCUUCAAUAAGACUAACAAUUGAAUUCACAUCAGAAAUCAUGGAUGCAUAUUAAAAUAUUAAAAUUACUGUCAACCAAAAAUUCUAUAUCCAGCUAAAUUAUCCCUCAAAAACAAAGAAGAAAAUGAACACAUUCUCAAAUAAAUAAACCCCUAUUUUAACAUGCCAUGCCCUUUACAUAUGAGGUCUCAAUUUGGAGAAGGACUUGCUUUCCAACUGUGAAGAAUGUACUCAGCAGAAGCCUCCAGCCGAUGUCAACUUCAGAUCCUCUUGCUGAUGCAGAGAGCUGACCUGCUCAAAGUCACACAAUUCCCAGAACAUUCCCAGAUUCAGUAACUGAGAAAGAUGAUGGUAUAAAAGUCCAGCCAUUCUGACCUUGGGACAACUCUGAUGGUUAAUAUUUAUUUCUGAGAUAUUUGUCUUGUUGGCCAAGGCUUUCCCAGGCCUUUGUGACUGUUCAGCUUCAUCUUCUUGCCAAUCCUGUUUUUGCCCCCUCCUUUCAUGUGCAAUGAUCCCUAAUAAAUAGCUUGUACUACAAACCCUGCCUCAUAUCUGUUUCUGGACAAACUGACCUGUUGCACCCCAUUAGCAUAGCAUUUAGAAUCUGUGCAUGAAAAAGAA